AGAUGUGAGGGCGAUCUGGCUGCGACAUCUGUCACCCAUUUGAUCGCCAGGGUUGAUCGGCUGAUCUGCUGGCUAGGCGUGUCCCCUUCCUCCCUCACCGCUCAGUGUCCCUUCCCGGAAGCUGCCUCAGCGCUCGUCAAGAUGCGACCAUUCCCGAUAGAGUAGACCGGUUCUUUCGUCCAAGGUAUACACCAGCGCCCCUGCCUAAACCUCAGCAAACAAUUUUGCUCUAAUUUUGUUAUAGAGAGAGUAUAGCAAUAAUA
rnacentral:sRNA from 1 species